rnacentral:rRNA from 1 species
UGGUGGAGUGAUUUGUCUGGUUUAUUCCGUUAACGAACGAGACCUUAACCUGCUAAAUAGUGGGUUCCAUUUUGAUGGAUCAUAACUUCUUAGAGGGACUUUGAACGUCAAGUUCAAGGAAGUUUGAGGCAAUAACA